GCAGGUAUAGUUUAGAGGUAAAACAUCAGCUUGCCAUGCUGAGGUCGCGGGUUCGAUUCCCGCUACUUGCUCCA
rnacentral:tRNA from 1 species